AAAGCUAUAUGAAAAAGAUCUCCAUUCAUCCUUUGUGGCCGUUUGACGGAAAACGAAAGGCAAAAAUUGUUCAGGCACAGAACCACAUGGCAUGCUGACUGAGGAGCACUAUAUGUUGAUUGAUGUGUUCUCCCGAUUCUGUAAUGUCGAAGGUGCUGAUACAUUGCAGUCCAUGUAGACCACAGUUUGUUUGUCAACUGGAUUUUUCAAAAACUGCGUCUGUUUCAGAAGCAAAGAUGAAAGACAAUUUUAUGAAAGCAUUCCUGAGCUGGUAUGAAAUAUUCGAAUCAGUAACAACUAAUUCUGCAGAUUUUGCUGCGGACAUCACGCCAUGAGGACAUCCUGGUGUCUGGUGCGAGUGAGGACGGCUUUCUGACUGUUCGGGCAGACAAGGACUGCAGAGAGAGUGACAGCGGUUGGUACAACUCUGGUCACAUCACGGUGAAGGAGUGUGUGUGGCCCGGACAUUGAACUGUAGCUGUGGGUCUCUGCUUAUGCUGUGUGCCCGGGUGGAUUCUCACACGCCACUGUGGUGGCUGUUUAUGUUUAAUCUUUAUGUAGUUUUGUAUCUUGUUGCUUUUAUUUGAUAUGACUGUAUGAUAAAUCAAAUCUCACUGCACCUCAAGGUGCACGUGACAAUAAAGGACCAUUGAACCAUUGUUUCCUUUAUUACCAAAUUAAAGACAACUCCCCUCUCGCCUUUAAUCAUUUAAAAAUAAAAUAUUAAAAACUAUGGAGAUGAUUCUACCCAUUUAAUUUGUAAAUCUAUAAAAAAUCUUUUGCCUAAGGCUUAAUAUUUUAGGUGAUCCGUUGCAGAAUAACGAGGGAAUAGAUGUGGGCUGAGGCCUUUAGGGAGUGUGGCUAGUCAGGCUGUGCUAGUUUUAGGCUGGAGAAUAUCACAAUCUUUGCUCAAUGUAAUGGCAGAUCACCAAAGAUAUAUUUUCUCCAAUUAAUUUCCUAAGGGAAUACCAAAGGCUAUUGCAGGAUGAUGGCAUUGACAUUUUUUGGGGAUUUUUCUGCAAAAUAUACAUUAAAUUCCCUGUUAUGUUAAGCUAUUCUUGCUGCUGAUGAUAUUUUGUCUUAAUUUAGGCAAGCAGCUUUAGGAAUCCUUUGUGAAAACUAUGAGGAACCCCUUGAGAUCUGGUUAUGUUAGUCAUGAACAUUUUUGGAGAUUUCUCACAGCCCUGCUGCCCUAAAUGGGCAUAAAAUCCUGAAUAAAUCUAACUGGUUGAAAAUAGCAUUCAAGGGAUACUAAAGCAACUAAGCAGAAGCAGAAUUGAACCACCGCAAAGUGUAGCUUUAUGACCUGACAUAUCCCUUGCUCCUCCAUGACCUUCAAUCCAAGGGACCAAUCCCACAUCUAUUUGGAUCCUUUACUCAGCAGACCCUAAAUACCCCAAUACUGAAGGUGAGGUCAAAACAUUUGCAGAAUAAAAGUGUCUAACCAAAUAAAAUCUUCUUUCAGAUCACAACGAUUAACAUUUUUCCUUACAGUGCUUUUAAGCUUUUGAAUCAAUGCAUUGAACAUUUUCUUCUCAACUGAGUUGGAAUUUUAACCAGACAAAUGUAAUGUUCAAGAAAAGGUGAUGGAGGUCUCUUUGAUAUUUUGAAUGUUGUUGAACUCAAGAAUUUCUAAACAAUUCCGAUUUAUUUAACUAAUCCACUUAAUGCUAAGCUUAUCCUUUGAUGCUGAGGUGUUAGUUGAGUUUCAGUUGGCAGCGCUCAAUUCCCCACGUGGUUCAAGCCUCACUUCAAUGAGGACAAAAUCUAGGUUGGUGAUCCACUGCAGUAGUAAGAACAUUGUUUUUCAGGUGAAAUGUUAACUGGAGUACCAUUGAAUGGAGAAAAACUAUUCCACGGGCAUAUUGUGCAGCACUGCGGUCUCCCUUGCUGCCUUUCACCAAUAUUAAUAUUUCAGCCAACGAUAUUGUAACAAUGCAGCGUAAGUUUUGAAAUUCGAUGCUAGAUUAGAACAGCAACUACUUAACUAGGAUUGUAACAUCUUGAGGUUCUGAGAGGAUAAACUUCACUUUUGAACACACUGAAGACCAAGGUUAGGGGAACAUUUAAUAUAAUUCUGGACAUCAAAAUCAGUAAUAAUGGAAAUCGCAAACAUCAAAUACAAUCACUGAUGUACCAUACUGAUUUCAGUUAGGAAAACAAGAAAAUUCAUGGUUACACUUCUAACAUGGUAUAGUUAUCACCUUAACCAUUUGCGCACAAAUAAACAAAUUAAGUUAUUCUUUACAUUUUAGAGUCAUAGAGCCAUGCAGCAUGGAAAUAGACCAUUCAGUCCGACUUGUGCAUUUUGUGCGAGUCCCGUUUGCCAACAUUUGGCCCAUGAUCCUCUAAAUCCUUCCUGUCCAUAUAUAUGUCCAAAUGUAUUUUGGAAGUCAUAAUUGUAUCCACUUCUGCAUAUUCCAGAUACUGAGUGAAAAAUAUGUUCCUGAGGCCCCUCUUGAAUCUUUCUCUUCUCACCUUAAACCAUUGCUUUCAACUUUUUAGAAUCAUCUACUCUUGGGAAAAGUUUGAGUGCUCACUUUAUCCAUUCCCCUGUUUUUGGAUAAUUUAUUUUCUCUCAUUUCCAAAGGAUUCUUUUUAGUAAAAUCUUAAAUCUUCCCAGUGAUAACCUUUGUUAACAAUGGGUGCCUAAAUACUGAGUGAUUGUAAGAAACCUUAAGAAUUGGAAAAAACACAUGAGCUUCAUGAGAUCAUUUUAUUCAGGUGUGUUUUUUCCCCCAAUGAUCAAUGGAUAUUGGCCAGAAGUGUGUCUUUUAAUUUUCUACUCAACUAUGCUAAAGCUCACUGUGAUGCCUCAAUUUUUGACACAUCGCUCAACCAACUUUAAUGAUCUAUUACUGAUCUUAGUUAUUUUCUGAUUUACACAUGGUGAAUUUGCACAGUGACACACAAAGGAAGCUGACAGCAAAUACAUUUUUUGCAUAACAUUCUAGGUUCAAAAUUCAUAUUGAAGACAUAAUAAUGUUGUACUACCAAUUUGUUUAAUUUAGUUUCAGUACUUUUACAUCUUAAUUUAUGACUAAAAUGAAUAGUUUAAUUUAGUUUUUUUGUCAUGUGUACCAAGGUAUAGUGAAAAGCUUUUGUUGCAUGCUAACCAGUCAGCAGAAAGAUAAUACAUGAUUAUAAUCGAGCCAUCCACAGUGCACAAAUACGUGAUAAAGGGAAUAAUGUGAAUAACGUUUAGUGCAAGAUAAAGUUCAGGAAUGUCCGAUCAAAGAUAGUCCGAGGGUCUCCAAUGAGCAAAACAUAGUCAGUGAAUUGUUAUCACUCCAUGGCAAUUGAUAGGACUGCAAUAAUCUCCAUGAAUGUGUUGGAACCAUCAAAAUAAGUGUGGUGACUUUCUUGUUGUAAUGUAAUGUUGCCCCUUGUCUGGACCUCAAGUCCGUAAUAAAGUUUAUUAUUUAUUAUUUGUUAUAUGACUGAAAAUUUGACAAAAGGAACAGAUUGGAAGCCUUUAACUAAACUAUGUUGCACCAGCUAAGUAAUUAUGGACAAAAUAUAUCUUUAUGAUUUUAGUUUCCUCUUGCACCAACAGUUGUACAUUAAUUACAGUUU